rnacentral:rRNA from 1 species
GGAUCCAGACUUUGAUUAUGGCUCAGGAUGAACGCUAGCUACAGGCUUAACACAUGCAAGUCGAGGGGAAACGAUAUUGGAAGCUUGCUUCCGAUAGGCGUCGACCGGCGCACGGGUGAGUAACGCGUAUCCAACCUGCCCACCACUUGGGGAUAACCUUGCGAAAGUAAGACUAAUACCCAAUGAUAUCUCUAGAAGACAUCUGAAAGGGAUCAAAGAUUUAUCGGUGAUGGAUGGGGAUGCGUCUGAUUAGCUUGUUGGCGGGGUAACGGCCCACCAAGGCGACGAUCAGUAGGGGUUCUGAGAGGAAGGUCCCCCACAUUGGAACUGAGACACGGUCCAAACUCCUACGGGAGGCAGCAGUGAGGAAUAUUGGUCAAUGGGCGAGAGCCUGAACCAGCCAAGUAGCGUGCAGGAUGACGGCCCUAUGGGUUGUAAACUGCUUUUAUAAGGGAAUAAAGUGAGCCUCGUGAGGCUUUUUGCAUGUACCUUAUGAAUAAGGACCGGCUAAUUCCGUGCCAGCAGCCGCGGUAAUACGGAAGGUCCGGGCGUUAUCCGGAUUUAUUGGGUUUAAAGGGAGCGUAGGCCGGAGAUUAAGCGUGUUGUGAAAUGUAGAUGCUCAACGUCUGCACUGUAGCGCGAACUGGUUUCCUUGAGUACGCACAAAGUGGGCGGAAUUCGUGGUGUAGCGGUGAAAUGCUUAGAUAUCACGAAGAACUCCGAUUGCGAAGGCAGCUCACUGGAGCGCAACUGACGCUGAAGCUCGAAAGUGCGGGUAUCGAACAGGAUUAGAUACCCUGGUAGUCCGCACGGUAAACGAUGGAUGCCCGCUGUUGGUCUGAAUAGGUCAGCGGCCAAGCGAAAGCAUUAAGCAUCCCACCUGGGGAGUACGCCGGCAACGGUGCAACUCAAAUGAAUUGACGG